AGGGAACCGCAGGGACAAGGACACCGGGUGGUGAAAAUGCAGCGCGUGUAUUUUUCUUGCUUUGCUGUCGAUCCGUGAACAUGUCCUCAUGCAUAGACCUCUGCCAGCUCCCAUUUACAAGCCCUGCUCUGGACAAAGGAGAUGUGAUCAAUGCCACAGGUGGGGGAGAAGAGCUCCCUGAGGCUCAGCCUAGCCUUGGGGAAGUUGCGAUCUGCCGAGGGCAGUGAAGCUGUGGGCACCUGACCUGCUGGCACGAUAACUCUGCGCUCGUUCGUGGUCAUGUUUGGGGGUGGCAUGUGCUUCUCCUCCAUGUAGCUGCCGUAGUUCAUCCCAACGGUGUCUGGGCUGCCCACCAUCUUCCCGCCUUUGGCCACACUGCAUUCAUCAGGAGAGUUCCUGGAGGAGAAGAAAUAUUCUUCCAUUAUAACAGCAAUCAAAGAGCAUGUCUCCAUCGACUUCUCACAAUACACAGAGAGAACCAAAGAAGGGCAAGGCGGAAGAGACUGGGGGAGAAAGGACAAGUGUGAAAAGCCAAAUACAGGCGGGGUGCCGUGGCUCAUGCCUGUAGUCCCAACACUUUGGGAUGCCGAGGUGGGCGGAUCAUGAGGUCAAGAGAUCCAGACCAUCCUGGCCAACAUGGUGAAACCCCGUCUCUACUAAAAAUACAAAAAUUAGCUGGGCAUGCCUGUAGUCCCAGCUACUCAGGAGGCUGAGGCAGGAAAAUUGCUUGAAUCCGGGAGGUGGAGGUUGCAGUGAGCUGAGAUCAUGCCACUGCACUCCAGACUGGCGACAGAGUAAGAUUCCAUCUCAAAACAAAAAAGAAAAGAAAAGAAAAGAAAUGCCGAAAACAGGCCUUGCCUUCUGUCCUCCCGAAAUGCAUAUUUUGAAGCCCUAACUCCCAAUGUGAUGAUAUUAGGAGAGAGAGCCUUUGGGAGGUAAUUUCAGUUUGAUGAGGUCAUGAGGGUAGAGUCCCACGAUGGGAUUAGUGCCCUUAUUAGAAAAGAAAGAGACCAGAGCUCGAGCUCUCUCUCUCUCUCUCUCUCUCUCUCUCUCUCUCUCUGCCAUGUAAGGGCAGAGCAAGAAGGUGGCCAGGCCAUCUGCAACCCAAGGACAGAGACCUCACCAGAGACUGGCCCUGCUGGUGUCUGAUUUUAGACUUCCAACCUCCAGAAGUAUGCAAGCUCGAGUCCCAUUGUUUCAGCCAGCCAGUCUGUGGGGCUCUGUGAAGGCAGCCUGCACAGGCUAGGACAGUGCCCAUACUGGCUAGAUGCACAGAACACGCACAAGGGAGGCGGAACUACCACCUGGCUUCUGUUUCUUAAGCAGCUCCUCCUGAAACUGUCAUGUCAAAACUCCAUCUGUGACAACUGAUUGGGGACACUUGCAGGGAACAGUGAACUGCUCUUUGUUCUCGCGGUGUGACAGCAAACAGGCAGAGUAGACAGAUGCUGUGGGGCGGCACCAGGGACACUCGCUGCUCAGUGAGGUUUAUCCUGGAACGACGUUCCUUCUCAAAACCUCAGAAUGAAAUCCUCCUGCUCAAUUUCAAAUCCCUGCAGCCAAUCUUUACAUAUGGAGCUUUGAAGACUCACAGUGUUCCAGGCUUAGGUGUAGACAGGAAGGGCAGGGAAGGGUGAGGACUGACGCUAGGGGAGGCCUCAUGGGGAGUGGACUCCAGCAGUCCUAGAGGACCCUUGGGAAAGGGAUAGGGAAGGAACUGUGUGGAUGCAGAGAGGGGUCAGCUACUGACUACUGACCGUGGGCAACAGGUCACAGGGCUGCUGUUAGUAAGGCAGUCACUGUCAUUUGGAUAAAGUCAAACCUACCUUUCUGGAAAAAGAAAAGGAAAACAUUUUAAACAGUGAGUUGUGAAAGCUACAGGACAUUGGUGAAAUCGCAUCUGAUAGGGAAAUGCUAAAAAGAAAAUCCAGCUUAGGGCCAGGAGUGGUGGCUCACACCUGUAAUCCCAGCAUUUUGGGAGGCCGAGGUGGGCAGAUCACCUGAGGUCAGGAGUUCAAGACCAGCCUGAUCAACAUGGAGAAACCCAGUCUUUACUAAAAAUACAAAAUUAGCUGGGCAAGUGGUGGUGCAUGCCUUUAAUCUCAGCUACUCGGGAGGCUGAGGCAGGAGAAUCCCUUGAACCUGGGAGGUUGAGGUCGUGGUGAGCUGAGAUGGCGCCAUUGCACUCCAGCCUGGGCAACAUGAGUGAAACUCCAUCAAAAAAAGAAGAAAGGAAAGAAAGAAAGAAAGAGAGAGAGAAAGAGAGAGAAAGAAAAGAGAGAGAAAAUCCAGCUUAAGCAGAAAACAGAAAAUACAUGUCAGUGCCUUCUUAGAUGGUUAACACGUAGAUGGUAAACCCAGGGUCACUGUAGCUGAGAAGUAUUAAUAUUUAGGGUCUGUUGUCUAAGGCGGAUUUCCAGAAAUGCCUCUCAGGCUCUAUCCAAUGCAUACAUUUUUUUCAUAUUCCUUGGAAUCUGGGAACCUUCGCUUUCUCUAGAUUUUAGAUUUCUAUCCCAGUGUUUCUGGUUGUGGGAUCCACGCCAAUGAAGCCUCAUUUAUCUCCUCCACUUCUUGUUAGUUGGAGUUCUGCAGAGAACUUGGACAAUCAAAAAACUAUGGGCUUGGCAUGGAUGUGAACUUCAAGUCUAAGGAGGUCAAAACCAUCUGAGGCAGGAGCGCACUUUCUGAGUGGGGUGAGAUGGAGAAGGUCAUUCCACACCUGAAAGCCAUAGCUGGGAUGUGGACAGGAAGGGAAAGUGUUUGUUCAGCAUGUGGGAACUUGAAAAUAUAGGUUUGUUCUCAGCAUCACUUACAAAUGUGUCUGAAGCCUAUGGAGGGAUCUUAGGUGUUGGCAGUGAAGAGGGUACACUGCCAUCUGCGGAUGGAGGUUACAGUCAGGGUCACGCAGGACUCAGGCCCUAACAUGGGCCUGGAAUGCACAGCCCUGCCUGAUGGCAUCCUCACAGCUGUGCUAACAUGAAGGAAAUUUUAAAAUAAUAAUGGUCUGAGUUCCCAUGAAGUAGAUCCUGAAUAUUUCCACCGCUGCCUACACAUGCAUUAUUUCCUCUUGAUGCUAUUUUUCCUGGCUUCACACAUUUAUCUCUAAAAGACCCAUCCUAAUAUGAAAACACAGAGUGUCUUCACUUAGACUGAGUUUCCUAUUCCUCUGGAAAAUUCCAUCAGUUGAGUAGAGUGUAUAUGUUUUGGUAUAUUUGUCUCAAGGAGAGAAGUUACCAGGGAAGAGAAGUUAGAGGGAUUAGGUUCUUUAGGAAAAAGACUUUGCCCAGAUGAUGUGAGUAACUCAAGUAACAACUAUAAAAUCUAGACAACCUUUGUUCAGAUUCAAUCAUUCACUCAUCCAUUUAGACAGCUGUUAUCAAGUGCCGGCCGUAUACCAGGUCCCAUCAAUUCUUUCUUCUCCAA
rnacentral:lncRNA from 1 species